rnacentral:lncRNA from 10 species
CAGGUACGCAUGCCCCAGAGGCGCGGCGCUUGGCGGGAAGCUGAGUCCUGGCCUUGCGUCGCACUGUCUGUCCUCAGCUCGCGUAGCCGCGCUCGCGACUCCCUUUCCCGGCAUGCCAGGCGGUGCGGCCGCCCUCUGGGCCGUGUAAAGGCCCCUCGGUCUAAGGCUUCCCUAUUUCCUGGUUCGCCGGCGGCCAUUUUGGGUGGAAGCGAUAGCUGAGUGGCGGCGGCUGCUGAUUGUGUUCUAGGGGACGGAGUAGGGGAAGACGUUUGCUCUCCCGGAACAGCCUAUCUCAUUCCUUUCUUUCGAUUACCCGUGGCGCGGAGAGUCAGGGCGGCGGCUGCGGCAGCAAGGGCGGCGGUGGCGGCGGCGGCAGCUGCAGUGACAUGUCCAGCAUGAAUCCCGAAUAUGAUUAUUUAUUCAAGUUACUUCUGAUUGGCGACUCAGGGGUUGGAAAGUCUUGCCUUCUUCUUAGGUUUGCAGAAUAGGUUUUUUUAAUUUUUAUUUUUCACUAAACAGGCAAUUGAAAUACAUGGUACAAAAAUAAGUGGUAAGAUAAUUGUAAAAUGAAAUGGACAGAAUAUUCAAUUUUCCAUCUAUGAAAAUUUCACAAUAAAAAUCAUAGUUUACUUUGU